GAUGAACGCUGGCGGUAUGCUUAACACAUGCAAGUCGAACGGGGUCCUUCGGGACUUAGUGGCGGACGGGUGAGUAACGCGUGAGGAUCUGGCUUCAGGAUGGGGAUAACAUUGGGAAACUGAUGCUAAUACCCGAUAUGGCGAGAGCUGAAAGAUUAAUCGCCUGAAGAUGAACUCGCGUCCGAUUAGCUAGUUGGAGUGGUAAUGGCACCCCAAGGCGAUGAUCGGUAGCUGGUCUGAGAGGAUGAUCAGCCACACUGGGACUGAGACACGGCCCAGACUCCUACGGGAGGCAGCAGUGGGGAAUUUUCCGCAAUGGGCGCAAGCCUGACGGAGCAAUACCGCGUGCGGGAGGACGGCCUUUGGGUUGUAAACCGCUUUUCUCAGGGAAGAAGAUCUGACGGUACCUGAGGAAUCAGCAUCGGCUAACUCCGUGCCAGCAGCCGCGGUAAUACGGAGGAUGCAAGCGUUAUCCGGAAUUAUUGGGCGUAAAGCGUCCGCAGGUGGUUUAUCAAGUCUGCUGUCAAAGCGUGGAGCUUAACUCCAUACGGGCGGUGGAAACUGAUGAACUAGAGGAUGGUAGGGGUCACGGGAAUUCCCAGUGUAGCGGUGAAAUGCGUAGAUAUUGGGAAGAACACCAGCGGGGAAAGCGCGUGACUGGGCCAUUACUGACACUCAUGGACGAAAGCUAGGGGAGCGAAAGGGAUUAGAUACCCCUGCAGUCCUAGCUGUAAACGAUGGACACUAGGUGUUGCCCGUAUCGACCCGGGCAGUGCCGUAGCCAACGCGUUAAGUGUCCCGCCUGGGGAGUACGCACGCAAGUGUGAAACUCAAAGGAAUUGACGGGGGCCCGCACAAGCGGUGGAGUAUGUGGUUUAAUUCGAUGCAACGCGAAGAACCUUACCAGGGUUUGACAUCCUCCGAAUUCUUGGGAAACCGAGAAGUGCCUUCGGGAGCGGAGAGACAGGUGGUGCAUGGCUGUCGUCAGCUCGUGUCGCGAGAUGUUGGGUUAAGUCCCGCAACGAGCGCAACCCACGUUUUUAGUUGCCAGCAUUAGGUUGGGCACUCUAGAGAGACUGCCGGUGACAAACCGGAGGAAGGUGUGGAUGACGUCAAGUCAGCAUGCCCCUUACAUCCUGGGCUACACACGUACUACAAUGCUUCGGACAGAGGGUUGCGAGCACGCGAGUGCAAGCUAAUCCCGUAAACCGAGGCACAGUUCAGAUUGCAGGCUGCAACUCGCCUGCAUGAAGGCGGAAUCGCUAGUAAUCGCCGGUCAGCAUACGGCGGUGAAUACGUUCCCGGGCCUUGUACACACCGCCCGUCACACCAUGGGAGUUGGCCACGCCCGAAGUUGUUACCCUAACCACUUGUGGAGGGGGGCACCUAAGGCAGGGCUGAUGACUGGGUGAAGUCGUAACAAGGUAGCCGUACCGGAAGGUGUGGCUGGAUCACCUCCUUUUAGGGAGACCACCCACUCAGGCUUACGGAAGUAAGGAUUGAGCUGGUCAACCAGGUCGUGCGAGAUUUGGGAUGCGGCUUUCAAACUAUUUGGGUUCACGAACUAAGAGAGUAUUGAGAUGCCAUUUAGAAGAGCAUGGGAUUGAUAGUACAGCACCUCAUUUAGUAGCACGAGUGAGUGAUUGUGAGUGAAUACUAAAGAGAAUGCUGGGUUGUAAUCCAGUAAGGACCUUGAAAACUGCAUAGAGAAAGAGAAGUAGGUAGAACGUUAUCAAGCGUGAAAUAGCGGUCAAGCUAAGAAGGGCUAACGGUGGAU
rnacentral:rRNA from 22 species